UACGUAGGCAGCAAGCGUUGUUCGGAGUUACUGGGCGUAAAGGGUGCGUAGGCGGCCUUAUAAGUAUGGUGUGAAAUCUCCCGGCUUAACUGGGAGGGUGCGCUAUAGACUGUGGGGCUAGCGUGUGGGAGAGGAAAGUGGAAUUCCUGGUGUAGCGGUGAAAUGCGUAGAUAUCAGGAGGAACACCGGUGGUGUAAACGGCUUUCUGGACCAUAACUGACGCUGAGGCACGAAAGCGUGGGUAGCAAACAGG
rnacentral:rRNA from 1 species